rnacentral:rRNA from 1 species
GACGAACGCUGGCGGCGUGCCUAAUACAUGCAAGUUGAGCGCUGAAAGUUGGUACUUGUACCGCUUGGAUUAGCAGCGAACGGGUGAGUAACGCGUGGGGAAUCUACCUUUGAGCGGGGGACAACAUUUGGAAACGAAUGCUAAUACCGCAUAAAAACUUUAAACACAAGUUUUAAGUUUGAAAGAUGCAAUUGCAUUACUCAAAGAUGAUCCCGCGUUGUAUUAGCUUGUUGGUGAGGUAAAGGCUCACCAAGGCGAUGAUACAUAGCCGACCUGAGAGGGUGAUCGGCCACAUUGGGACUGAGAAACGGCCCAAACUCCUACGGGAGGCAGCAGUAGGGAAUCUUCGGCAAUGGACGAAAGUCUGACCGAGCAACGCCGCGUGAGUGAAGAAGGUUUUCGGAACGUAAAACUCUGUUGGUAGAGAAGAACGUUGGUGAGAGUGGAAAGCUCAUCAAGUGACGGUAACUACCCAGAAAGGGACGGCUAACUACGUG